CAGCCGCCGCGGGAAUACGUAGGGUGCAAGCGUUAAUCGGAAUUACUGGGCGUAAAGCGUGCGCAGGCGGUUCGUUAAGACAGAUGUGAAAUCCCCGGGCCUAACCUGGGAACUGCAUUUGUGACUGGCGAGCUAGAGUAUGGCAGAGGGGGGUAGAAUUCCACGUGUAGCAGUGAAAUGCGUAGAGAUGUGGAGGAAUACCGAUGGCGAAGGCAGCCCCCUGGGCCAAUACUGACGCUCAUGCACGAAAGCGUGGGGAGCGAACAGGAUUAGAUACCCGUGUAGUCCCUGUCUCUUAUAC
rnacentral:rRNA from 1 species